rnacentral:lncRNA from 1 species
GAUGCCCCGCCCCACCUCCGGCCCUCCUCGGUAUUCCUCCGCGCUCACUCCCUGCUGUUCCUAUUAGCCAAUCGCCGGGCUCGUCUCGCAGUGACGCACCGAUCCAGGAACAGUUCUGCGACCCGGAACAGGCGGGUCCAGGAUCUCCGGGAAGCCACCACCCUUUUCAUUCAUUGAUUCGCUGUUUCAGUAAGAUGUUUGUUGUGCACCUACGAAGUGCCGGUUUCCUAGAGUUGGAGAGAGAUCGCGCCUCUCACGCGCGGGAGUUUACAAUCCCGUGAACCGAGAAAUCAUUUACUCAUUCCACAAAUCAUAAUUUUUAUGUUUAACAGCUUUAUUGAGGUAUAAUUUAUAUAUCUUAAAAUAUACCCUCUGGAAGUUGGAGCUGUGGCUCAGGUGGUAGAGCGCUCGCCUAGCAUGCGCGAGGCGCUGGGUUCAAGCCUCUGAACCACAUAACAAUAAAU